rnacentral:rRNA from 1 species
CUCGGGGAUAGCCUUUCGAAAGAAAGAUUAAUACCCGAUGGCAUAAUAGAACCGCAUGGUUUGAUUAUUAAAGAAUUUCGGUUAUCGAUGGGGAUGCGUUCCAUUAGGCAGUUGGUGGGGUAACGGCCCACCAAACCUUCGAUGGAUAGGGGUUCUGAGAGGAAGGUCCCCCACAUUGGAACUGAGACACGGUCCAAACUCCUACGGGAGGCAGCAUG